rnacentral:ncRNA from 1 species
GGGACUCUCCGGGCGACAAGUCCAUACAUCGAGGCGACGGUUGCCAGGAACCCGGUGCGAAUCCGGGACGGUCCCGCCACUGUCACCCCGCGCGAGUCACCGCUCACCCGCGCGCGGAAGUCAGGAACUGACCCGUCGUCCUCCUGCUUC